rnacentral:ncRNA from 1 species
AGUUUUAUCUUAGUUAAAAUAAAUUAAAGUAAAGUUAAAAUUUACAUGUAAAUAUAUGUGAAAUUUAAAAAAUUUUUUAAAUAAAAAUUAUUGGGAUAUUGUUCGCAGUAGAUAAAUUUAAAUAUUUACGUAAGUAAGAUUUAGUUGAAUUUUUUAAUAUUAACAAAUUUUGUGCCAGCAGUUGCGGUUAUACAGAAAAUAUGAUUUAAUUAAAUUAGUAUUAAUAAAUUGUUUAUAAAAAUUUAAUUUAAAAUUAAAAUUUAUUGGGUGAAAUUUUAAAUUUUUAAAAAGAUUAUUUAGAAAUUAUUAUUUAAGAAACUUAUAAUUUAAACUAGGAUUAGAUACCCUAUUAUUUUAAGCUUAAAAUAUAAACUGAAUUAGUAAUAGUUAUGUUCUUGAAAAUUAAAAGAUUUGGCGGUAUUUUAGUCUAUUCAGAGGAACCUGUUCUAUAAUUGAUAAUCCACGUUUUUUAUUACUUUUUUUAUUAGUUUAUAUAUCGUCGUAGUUAGAUUAUUUUUUUAGAAUUUAAAUAAUCUUAAUUUAUUUUAUAAAUUAAAUCAGAUCAAGGUAUAGCUUAUAAAAAAGAAGAAAUGGGUUACAUUAAUUUUAAUUGAGGAAAAUUUUAAAUUAAAAUUGGUUUGAAUAUGGAUUUGAAAGUAAUUAUUAUAUUAUAUAAAAAUGAUUUUAGCUCUAAAAUAUGCACAUAUCGCCCGUCGCUUCUAUUUUAAGAUAGAAUAAGUCGUAACAAAGUAGUUUUACUGGAAAGUGAAGCUAGAAUGAUC